UGUGUAAGAAAUAAGAAUAUGAAGAUGUAGAUGUUGAUUUUAGGUGCAUUUAGAGCUUGAAAUUGUUUGUUCAUGGUGGUUGAUAUAUUGAUGACAAUGGCAAUAUUGUAAAUAAAAUAAUAAGAUGAGGAUGAUUGAGUAAAACAACCAUCUUCGAGAAAAAAAAAUUAGAAAAAAAUAAUGUCAUUUAUGUGAAUAAUCCAAACUUUUGUGGUAAAUAUGGCAAAUGAAAGUUUCAAAAAAGUCAUGGAUUAGUUUUGUGUUUGACUUUGAGAUUUGAGCAAUUUUUACAAAAAACCCACAUAUUAAAGUUGCAUUCUGUUUUAUUCAGUUACACUAAAAGAAAUAGGAGUAAAGAUGAGUAAGAUAAAGUCUAAAUCUCUUUGUAAACUAAUCCUUUUUAGUGUACUCUUCCAAUUUAUAUGUACACAAUGCUCUAUAUAUACAAGUUUUAUUAUGUUAAAAUAAUUUACAUUAAAAUUAACCAAAAAU
rnacentral:lncRNA from 1 species